rnacentral:rRNA from 1 species
AAUCUUCCACAAUGGACGAAAGUCUGAUGGAGCAAUGCCGCGUGAGUGAAGAAGGNUUNNGGAUCNUNAAGCUCUGUUGUGAGNNNNNAACAAGUACGGAAGUAACUGUCCGUACCUUGACGGUACCUCAUUAGAAAGCCACGGCUAACUACGUGCCAUCAGCCGCGGUAAUACGUAGGUGGCAAGCGUUGUCCGGAAUUAUUGGGCGUAAAGCGCGCGCAGGCGGCCUUUUAAGUCUGAUGUGAAAGCCCACGGCUCAACCGUGGAAGGUCAUUGGAAACUGAAAGGCUUGAGUACAGAAGAGGAAAGCGGAAUUCCACGUGUAGCGGUGAAAUGCGUAGAGAUGUGGAGGAACACCAGUGGCGAAGGCGGCUUUCUGGUCUGUAACUGACGCUGAGGCGCGAAAGCGUGGGGAGCAAACA